UUCCUGUUGGAUUGAUCUUUUUACCCUUAUUUAAUGGCCUUCUUUGUCUCUUUUGAUCUUUGUUGGUUUGAAAGACUUACUUUCUUAAGUUAUUGCCUAGAAUUGACACUAUGUGAGACUUUAAAAUGUCAUAGAUACUCCAUAGGCCAAACAUUGCUAAUAUAUUUUUCUUAAAGUGAUAUUUCAUAAAAAAAUCAUGAGUUAUGCAAUGAGAACCCUUUGAGCCCUGAGCCCAAGCUUCCAGACUAAAUGUGAUUACAGAAUAAGAUGAAAUUUAACUUUGGUACAGAGCAUUUUAUAGCCCCAAAUUAUAUUUCCAGUUAUAUUCAUUAGCAUUUCUACUAAUAAACUCCCAACUUAAAUAGAAUUGAGCUCAAAGUUUUAAUAAUGUAUUCCCUUCCUUCUUUGUAUUUAUAUUUAGUUAUUAUGGGAAUACAACAUGGCUUCUCUAAAUUUGGGGUUCUUAGAGGAUCACCUCCUUUAGCUCAAUUACUUGUAUUGCUUUUCCCCAGUAGCUGAAAAGUAGUUAAGUUUGCUUUGGUCAUGAUUUUCAGGUGUGUGAGGUUUUUUUUGUUGUUGGUUGGCUUUUUGGUUUUUGAUUAUUUAGAAAUAAAGACUGAUUCGAAAUUAUAGUUAGUAUGAUUAAUUAGGAAGAAACAGAUUUUUCUUGUAGAACAGAUAAUUCUGGAAUUUAGUUUACGUCUAUUGACAUGUAAACUAAAUUCCUGUAUUAAGUUGGGUAUACUGUGGUCCCAAAAGUAGUCACUGAGUUAAAUGCGUAUGACAAAAACUUCAUGAUAGCAAACUGUCUCCUUUAGCUACUAAGUUUAUGGUUUAUCACUUUUGUUUUCUUGAUUUCAAUAAAGAAUUGUCAGUUUUAGAUGCUUAUUAGAAGUAAUAAGAAAUACUGGUAGGCUUACAUAGAAUUAGUGAAGUUUUAAUUGUUUACCAAAAUUGUACAUUUCAUGUGCUAACAAGUAAUCAAAGACAUGUGAAACUUACUUUGUAGUUUUUUUUUAUGCAGACAUUUCAUGGUUUCUAGCCAUUUCUUAUUCUUAAGCUUUACCUAGGGAUAUCCUCUAUUCGGCUCUUCUUUUAGUGUAGCAUAUUUGAGUUGACAUUUUAGAACUGAAAAUUUAAAAUUCUGCAUCUGAAUUUCUCAGUUUUGACGUGUACUCACCUCUGGGUUUUUCCUAGGUUGUUUCUAGAUGAAGAUUGGUGAUUGGGCAGAAGGUAACUAUAGAAACCAGCAUCUGGAUUGAGCUUUCAACACCACUCUACAAGCUACCACCAUGGUAUAAACCUAACCAUAGUCAGUGUUCCAAAAAGCCUGAAUUUUGUUGAGAAUGGUUCUUGGCAUACAUCUGUGAACAAAACAGAACACGGAUCCAUGCCCUUAUGGAGUUAAUAUAUAGUAUGGAAGAUGGGUGAUGACCAAGGCAUUGUAAAAAAAAAAAAAAUGGUAUGUUUAAAGGUGAUAAAGACUAUGGAAGAAGAGUUUCUGUAUGAGAACUUAGGGUAUUCUCCAGGUCUCUUCUCUUUGUGUGGUAAAGUAGAAAAGGCUUUUGCAAACACUUGAAAUCAUGGCUUCUGGAGAUGAGCUCUGAGAUCCUGAACAUUUUUCCUCUUUGAGGCUUAGCUCCCUUAUAUGCGUAAAAUGCUAAUCUCAAAAUUUUGGUGUAAGCACCAAAUGGUUAUAGAUCAAAUACCUUCUUAUCCCUUCCGAGCCACCAGCCCUCAUCCUCAUUCUGGGGAAGGAAGCUAUAUGGCACUACUAUAUUCUCCCUCUCCUGCACACUCUUAAGCAUGCCUAAGAGAAAUCAACCCAAUGUUCCUGAAAACCUUCAAGAUGUACUUACUGCAUAAACGUGGACAAACAAGUGCGUGGGUAUUUAAGAGCAAACAAAGCUACUUUUAUUCAGAAAUGAUGCUUUUUAAGUAAGGGUAGGAAAUUUUCACCUUUUUUUAAUAAGUCUUUUUCCCUCUUUCUCAUUUAUUUCAAUUCUUACAGACCCCUACUGAUAAAGUGUAAGAUUUGCUAUUUAUUGUUUUCCUUAUACAUAGAAGUAAAAUCACAGAAAUAAUUAUUUUAUAGGAGGAUAAAACAUUUAUUUAAAUGGAAACACUAAUCUUUAUUUUCAUCAUGCUGAAGUGUGUGGUUACAAUUUCCAAUAAAACACUAUAUAUAAUAAGCAAAAAAAAUAAGUUAGUACAUUGUAAACUUACACACAGUUUCAUCAAUUAACAGUUUAAGAACACACAAGCCAUUUAAGACUUUGGAGCUACAUUUAGCAAAAAAUUGCAAACACUCAAAUCUUAUUAACCCCAAGUAAGACACUAAAGAGCUAUUCAAGACUUCUUCAAACCAAUUACACAAAUACAUGUUUAUUUUUGGUUACAGUCCCCUGCUAUGCACAAGACCAUUGGAAUGCUGGAACAAUUACACAUUUUAAAACGGCACAAAGCAAAGCAAGGAGAUAACAUGCCAGCCUUAGAGAAGCUGUCUUGAAAGUGCAAACUGCUUUUUCUCUUCCUGAACCACUAGGAUAAGAACGGGUACCUCAGACGACACGGCAGGG